GUAGGGUGCGAGCGUUAAUCGGAAUUACUGGGCGUAAAGCGUGCGCAGGCGGUUGUGCAAGACAGAUGUGAAAUCCCCCGGGGCUCAACCUGGGAAUUGCAUUUGUGACUGUACGGCUAGAGUGUGUCAGAGGGGGGGUAGAAUUCCACGUGUAGCAGUGAAAUGCGUAGAGAUGUGGAGGAAUACCGAUGGCGAAGGCAGCCCCCUGGGAUAACACUGACGCUCAUGCACGGAAAGCGUGGGGAGCAAACAGGAUUAGAUACCCUGGUAGUCCCACGCCCUAAACGAUGUCAACUAGUUGUCGGGUCUUAAUUGACUUGGUAACGCAGCUAACGCGUGAAGUUGACCCGCCUGGGGAGUACGGUCGCAAGAUUA
rnacentral:rRNA from 1 species